CCAUUUCGAAGUGGUGGUUGUUUAUUUCCUACCUGACAUUCAACACCAAGCUGUCAUUCAUUCUUCAAUCUCAAAGCAAUUCUUCCUUUCGUCUGGGUUCUGGGUUUUUCUAAAAAAGACCUUUACUUUCAAUCUCGGUUCUCCAAAUUCCCUUCUAUUCCUUACCCAAAAUCAUUGCUUUUUUCGAGUUUUACUUUCUUCCAUUUACAAUUCUCUUCCAUACCCUCUUUUUUCUUUGUGGGGUUCCUCUAAUUCUCACAAAAUUUAGUCCAAGAUUGGAUUUUGGCCAUUUUGAAAACCACCCAUUUGAUAAAUUGCCUAAGAGAAUGCAUGUUCUUGGUUUAGAAUGGUUUUGAUGGUUGUUUUUGUGGCAAACUCAGUUGGGAGUUCAUAGGAGAAGACCCUUUUGGAUAUUUUUGACCAAUUUUGCGUUUCAACACCUAGAGUAGUUGCUUUGUAAUCAUGGCGAGUUCUGAGGCACACCCUGAUUUGUUGAGGAAUACCCCAUCAAAUAUUAAGAGGUUGGAGGUUGAGAUUGAACACAGUAAGGGCAGGCAGAAGUAUCUUGCGCAGACUAGGAGUCCUUCCGAUGGAGGUGAUGUUCGGUGGUACUUUUGCAAGGUCCCUUUGGCUGAGAAUGAGCUAGCUGCCUCAGUCCCUCGCACUGAGAUAGUGGGCAAGAGCGAUUAUUUUCGUUUUGGGAUGAGGGAUUCUCUUGCGAUAGAAGCAUCUUUCUUGCAGCAAGAAGAAGACUUGCUCUCUAGUUGGUGGAAAGAAUAUGCAGAAUGUAGUGAAGGUCCAAGAGGACGACCCAGCUCUAGUAAGGUGGAUAAGCAACAAAGUGGAUCUUCUUCGGGGGGUGCUCGAUCAGCCCAACUAUAUGAAGUUGAAGAAGAGAGAGUUGGUGUCCCUGUAAAGGGAGGACUCUAUGAGGUAGAUUUAGUGAAAAGACAUUGUUUCCCUGUUUAUUGGAAUGGAGAAGAUCGGCGUGUUUUAAGAGGUCAUUGGUUUGCCCGUAAAGGGGGCCUUGAUUGGCUUCCACUUCGUGAAGACGUAGCUGAACAACUAGAGAUUGCAUAUCGUAGCCAGGUUUGGCACCGUCGAACAUUUCAACCAUCGGGUCUUUUUGCAGCUCGAGUUGAUUUGCAAGGCUCUACCCCAUGGUUGCAUGCACUUUUUACUGGAGAAGAUGAUACUUGGGAGGCUUGGCUCAAUGUUGAUGCUUCUGGUUUUUCUGGUGUAAUGGGUUUUAGUGGAAGUGGAAUUAAGAUAAGGCGUGGCUAUUCCACAUCUCACUCACCAAAACCUACCCAGGAUGAAUUACGUCAGCAAAAGGAGGAGGAAAUGGAUGAUUACUGUUCACAGGUACCUGUUCAACACUUAGUUUUUAUGAUUCAUGGUAUUGGUCAAAGAUUGGAGAAGUCUAAUUUGGUUGAUGAUGUUACUAAUUUUCGCCAUGUCACAUCAAGUCUUGCUGAACAUCACCUUACUUCACACCAACGUGGCACUCAGAGAGUCCUUUUCAUCCCAUGCCAGUGGAGAAAGGGUUUGAAGCUUAGUGGUGAAGCUGCAGUUGACAAAAUUACUUUAGAUGGAGUUCGAGGUUUGCGUGUCACGUUGAGUGCAACUGUUCAUGAUGUCUUAUACUACAUGAGCCCCAUUUAUUGUCAGGAUAUUAUUGACUCGGUAUCCAUCCAAUUAAAUCGGUUAUACUUGAAGUUUUUGAAGAGGAAUCCAGGCUAUGAUGGAAAGGUUUCAAUAUAUGGGCAUUCGUUGGGAAGUGUCCUUUCCUAUGAUAUUCUCUGUCAUCAGGAGAAUUUAUCCUCCCCAUUUCCAAUGGAUUGGAUGUACAAAGAACAUGCUAGAAAUGAAGAAUCAUCUCCUGAUGUGAACAACCAGUCUUCUCUGUGUGACUCUUUGACAAAGCUGGAGGAUAAAGAUUUCACGGUUGUUAAUGAAACUGAGGACAGGGUGGAUCACUUUGAGGACAAGAUUACUUCACAAACAGAUUUAGAUGCUGAAAACGAGGAAGGAGAUGCUGAAGAUUCCUCAAUAAUUGUGGGUCCUAUCACUUCAGAUUUAGAUGAACUUACUGCAAAGGCUUUGGACUCCAAGCAACCAGGUGGUGAGAAAGACGUUGAUGAAUUACUUUGUGAUUCUCGUGACAUACUUUCUCAGAAGAGGGAUGCCUUGAGUGAAACUACGAACAUGGAUUCUGGCAUCCAGAUUGAGGGUUUGGAGAAAAUGACUGAGGACAUGUGUGAGGAUGAAGGCAAUAAAAACAAAGCAAUCAAAUUGCUGAAGAAAGAGAUUGAUUCGUUAAAGACCAAAAUAGUGGAAUUGGAAAAGCGAUGUGGUGGUGGAGAUACAAGGUUGCAUCAAGGAACUAAGGAGGAUCUUACAACUAUUCAAGAGCAACACAUAGAUGAGAAGCUGCCAUCUGGCCAAGAUGAUGCACCAAUGAAUUACACCCCAUAUAUUAAGUACACGAAGCUUGAAUUUAAGGUUGACACAUUCUUUGCAGUUGGAUCGCCUCUUGGAGUAUUCCUCGCCCUUCGUAAUAUUCGUAUUGGCAUUGGAAAAGGAAAGGAAUAUUGGGAAGAAGAAAAUAUAAGUGAAGAGAUGCCAGCAUGUCGGCAAAUGUUUAAUAUUUUUCACCCGUUUGAUCCUGUGGCAUACAGAAUAGAACCACUUGUCUGCAAAGAAUACACCAAUAAACGCCCUGUUCUUAUACCUUACCACAAGGGCGGAAGGCGGUUGCAUAUUGGAUUCCAGGAAUUUACUGAAGAUUUGGCAACUCGUUCUCAUGCAAUCAUGGAUCAUCUACACUCCAUAAGGGUCAAAGUACUCACAGUUUGCCAAUCCAGAAGCAUGGAUAGACUAGAAGAAGAGGGAGAGGAUUCCCAAGAAAAAGAGGGGAGAUCAUAUGGUUCUCUUAUGAUUCAGAGAUUAACUGGUAGUGAAGAAGGACGGAUUGAUCACAUGCUUCAAGAUAAAACAUUUGAGCAUCCAUACUUACAAGCCCUUGGAGCACAUACAAACUAUUGGAGGGAUCAUGAUACCGCACUUUUCAUAUUAAAACACUUGUAUCGAGAUAUACCUGAAGACCCCAACUCACCUGCGGAAUCUAGUGGGGGCAACUCAAAAGAAGAAAGUGGUUCCACAGGUUGGUCUGAUCAAAGAGAGACUGUUGAUGAAGAACUUCCAUUAACAUUCUCUGACACAGUUAUGGUUAGAAAUUUUUCAAGAAAAGCCAAGAAGAUUUGGAAGAAGCGCUGAUGAUAGCAGCAGUAUUCGAAUUCUUGCUGCACGCCUUUAGAUGCAUCAUGCAAGUGCAAUUGAUGACAAUGGAAGCAAUUUUUGUUAUUAUCAUAUCACUGCAUUCUGGGCCAAUUAUCUCAUAUUUUUAACAUUGCAGAAAGUCCUGAAAUUUAUGAUUGUGUCAUGCUGCGAUGGGAAUGCUAGUCAAAGUUACAAUGAAAAGUAUAUGCCAGUCCACACCAGGGUUCACCCUUGAAAUGUUGAUUGAGAAUGAGGGGAGUGGGUUAGUUGUGCUAUGUAGCAGAGUAGUAGUUUGUUAAAUGGAAGUAUACUUGAAACUAAUCCCUAUGGGAUUUAGGUGAAAUCAAAUGGACAUAUACAAAAAGUGUAUAGUGUUGUUCAAAAAAACAUGUAGACAGUGACACACAAUAGAAUGAUAUAGAAAGGUGUUAAUGGAACUAUCUCUCUCUCUCUCUCUCUCUUUGGGUGAUGAGAAUUGCAAAAGAUGGUGUAAAUUUGUAGCUUUAUUGUAUAAAAUUACUCCUUUUGUGGUGAUCAAAUGGAAAACUGUUGUGGUGUGUAACUUUAAAAAUCAA